rnacentral:tRNA from 1 species
UUUAGGGAGACCUACCCAUUGAAGAAUCGAAAGCGGAAAGCGAAUAGAGAAUCAAAUGGUCUACUCUAGGUCGGUGACGCGAGAUUGUGAAGUCUUUCAAACUAAUAUUUGGUUCGCGAGAGGGCUAUUAGCUCAGGUGGUUAGAGCGCACCCCUGAUAAGGGUGAGGUCCCUGGUUCGAGUCCAGGAUGGCCCACCUGAUGGGGGUUUAGCUCAGUUGGUAGAGCGCCUGCUUUGCAAGCAGGAUGUCAGCGGUUCGAGUCCGCUAACCUCCACAUUGGGUAUCYUCAGCAACUAGGAAAGACCUAGACUGCUGGUGAUGAACCAGCCAGAACCUUGAAAACUGCAUAUAGAAAGRUAAGAGUAAGWGUAAGUGGUCAAGCUAAUAAGGGCUCAUGGUGGAUACCUAGGCACACAGAG